rnacentral:rRNA from 1 species
AUUGAACGCUGGCGGCAGGCCUAACACAUGCAAGUCGAGCGAGCGGCGGACGGGUGAGUAAUGUCUGGGGAACUGCCCGAUAGAGGGGGAUAACUACUGGAAACGGUCGCUAAUACCGCAUACUAUCCGAUGAACCCAUAGGGGAUUAGCUAGUGGGUGGGGUAAUGGCUCACCUAGGCGACGAUCCCUAGCUGGUCUGAGAGGAUGAACAGCCACACUGGGACUGAGACACGGCCCAGACUCCUACGGGAGGCAGCAGUGGGGAAUCUUCCGCAAUGGACGAAAGUCUGAUGCAGCCAUGCCGCGUGUGUGAAGAAGGCCUUCGGGUUGUAAAGCACUUUCAGCGGGGAGGCGUUACCCGCAGAAGAAGCACCGGCUAACUCCGUGCCAGCAGCCGCGGUAAUUC